AACACCAUCGGAUCGUCAAAUCCAGCACCACCUGGCCACCAUCGACCACCACCAUCACUGGAAAAACAAGCACCGAACACAAAGACCCAAACCACUGCCUCAAAAUCUCAACCGGAGAAAUGAACCCAACGGGAGACCGACGCUGACAGGCCACUACUCACACCGUUAGGCAUACGUCAGAAAACCCAGGAGAGAUCCGACCAGUGAAGAGCACACCGGAGUCAGCGGCAAGCCGUGGUGGGAGCAGAUGUGACAAAAUUGCGGAGAAACAGAAAUUGGGCAGCCAAACCAGGGUGGGGGGCCGAAAAAAAAGAGAAUGAAGAAAAAGACAAGAAUCCUGGCAAGUCUCACCAAAACCGCCCUCGUCGCCGUCGGAGCACCACUGGACGAUCGCCGACCGAAAUCAGCACGCAAAAGACGAUCAGCAACACCCUUCCGUCGAGGACCAUGACCUCGGCAAUGACCCAGACAGCACCACCAUCUCCGACCACCCAGCUACUAUGUCAAUUGAUUUUUGGAGGAACCUGCAACAAACAAAACGUUAGAUAAAAACAGAGCUACAACCACCUACAACACCCAGGUCUACGCCACCCCUCCACCCCACAACCGCCACGGCCUCCAACAGCAAGAACUCCUCCCAACGCCGUUAGGCUAGAUCCGGUUCACCCAACAGUGAAACCGGCGAGGACACCUCGUCA